AUACGUAGGGGGCAAGCGUUGUCCGGAAUUAUUGGGCGUAAAGCGCGCGCAGGCGGCAGCUUAAGUCUCAUGUUUAAACCCGGGGCUCAACUUCGGGUCGCAUGGGAAACUGGGUUGCUUGAGUGCAGGAGAGGAAAGCGGAAUUCCACGUGUAGCGGUGAAAUGCGUAGAGAUGUGGAGGAACACCAGUGGCGAAGGCGGCUUUCUGGUCUGUAACUGACGCUGAGGCGCGAAAGCGUGGGGAGCAAACAGGAUGAGAUACCCUGGUAGUCCACGCCGUAAACGAUGAAUGCCAGGUGUCAGGGGUUUCGAUACCCUUGGUGCCGAAGUAAACACAUUAAGCAUUCCGCCUGGGGAGUACGUUCGCAAGAAUGAA
rnacentral:rRNA from 1 species